GAUGAACGCUGGCGGCGUGCUUAACACAUGCAAGUCGAACGAUGAAGCCCAGCUUGCUGGGUGGAUUAGUGGCGAACGGGUGAGUAACACGUGAGUAACCUGCCCUUAACUCUGGGAUAAGCCUGGGAAACUGGGUCUAAUACCGGAUAGGAGCGUCCACCGCAUGGUGGGUGUUGGAAAGAUUUAUCGGUUUUGGAUGGACUCGCGGCCUAUCAGCUUGUUGGUGAGGUAAUGGCUCACCAAGGCGACGACGGGUAGCCGGCCUGAGAGGGUGACCGGCCACACGGGGACUGAGACACGGCCCAGACUCCUACGGGAGGCAGCAGUGGGGAAUAUUGCACAAUGGGCGCAAGCCUGAUGCAGCGACGCCGCGUGAGGGAUGACGGCCUUCGGGUGGUAAACCUCUUUCAGUAGGGAAGAAGCGAAAGUGACGGUACCUGCAGAAGAAGCACAGGCUAACUACGG
rnacentral:rRNA from 1 species